rnacentral:rRNA from 1 species
AUUGAACGCUGGCGGCAUGCUUUACACAUGCAAGUCGAACGGCAGCGCGGGCUUCGGCCUGGCGGCGAGUGGCGCACGGGUGAGUAAUGCAUCUGACCGUGCCCCGUCGUUGGGGAUAGCCCGGCGAACGCCGGCUUAAUACCGCAUUCGACCUGAGGGUGAAAGCGGGGGACCGAAAGGCCUCGCGCUAUUGGAGCGGCCGAUGUCCGAUUAGCUUGUUGGUGGGGUAAAGGCUUACCAAGGCGACGAUCCGUAGCUGGGCUGAGAGGACGACCAGCCACACUGGGACUGAGACACGGCCCAGACUCCUACGGGAGGCAGCAGUGGGGAAUGGUGGACGAUGGGGGCAAUCCUGAUCCAGCCAUGCCGCGUGCGGGAAGAAGGCCUUCGGGUGGUAAACCGCUUUUGUUCGGGAAGAAAGCCUCUGGGCUAAUACCCCGGGGGGAUGACGGUACCGGAAGAAGAAGCACCGGCUAACUACGUG